rnacentral:lncRNA from 1 species
UUAAGAUCCCCACAUAUUCCUCCUGGCUGCUAUCAAGGAGUUGCUUUAACUUGCUUAAGUUGCCCUCUGUUUCUUUAGGUUGCUCUCCUGUGAGAGUCGCUAACAAACAAGAAAGUGGUCAAAUAUUAGGCAGUAAACAUGAGAAGGAGAAACAAAGGACCCAGAGAGGAUUCACAAACACAUUGUCUGGCUCAUGGAUUCUCUAGAGUUGUGUAGUCUUGUGUUUCUCCAGCACUUUUACUAUUAUUUGCAUAGCUCUUCUAAGA